rnacentral:rRNA from 1 species
GAUGAACGCUGGCGGCGUGCCUAAUACAUGCAAGUCGAGCGAACAGACGAGGAGCUUGCUCCUCUGACGUUAGCGGCGGACGGGUGAGUAACACGUGGAUAACCUACCUAUAAGACUGGGAUAACUUCGGGAAACCGGAGCUAAUACCGGAUAAUAUAUUGAACCGCAUGGUUCAAUAGUGAAAGACGGUUUUGCUGUCACUUAUAGAUGGAUCCGCGCCGCAUUAGCUAGUUGGUAAGGUAACGGCUUACCAAGGCGACGAUGCGUAGCCGACCUGAGAGGGUGAUCGGCCACACUGGAACUGAGACACGGUCCAGACUCCUACGGGAGGCAGCAGUGGGGAAUCUUCCGCAAUGGGCGAAAGCUUGACGGAGCAACGCCGCGUGAGUGAUGAAGGUCUUCGGAUCGUAAAGCUCUGUUAUUAGGGAAGAACAAAUGUAUAAUUAACUAUGCACGUCUUGACGGUACCUAAUCAGAAAGCCACGGCUAACUACGUG